rnacentral:rRNA from 1 species
ACGGGAGGCAGCAGUAGGGAAUCUUCCACAAUGGGCGAAAGCCUGAUGGAGAAACGCCGCGUGAGUGAAGAAGGAUUUCGGUUCGUAAAACUCUGUCGCAAGGGAAGAACAAGUAGCGUAGUAACUGGCGCUACCUUGACGGUACCUUGUUAGAAAGCCACGGCUAACUACGUGCCAGCAGCCGCGGUAAUACGUAGGUGGCAAGCGUUGUCCGGAAUUAUUGGGCGUAAAGCGCGCGCAGGUGGUUUCUUAAGUCUGAUGUGAAAGCCCACGGCUCAACCGGGGAGGGUCAUUGGAAACUGAGAGACUGGAGUGCAGAAGAGGAAAGUGGAAUUCCAAGUGUAGCGGUGAAAUGCGUAGAGAUUUGGAGGAACACCAGUGGCGAAGGCGACUUUCUGGACAGUAACUGACGCUGAGGCGCGAAAGCGUGGGGAGCAAACAGGAUUAGAUACCCUGGUA